rnacentral:ncRNA from 2 species
GGUCAUGAGUGCCAGUGACAGCCCCGGCUUGCUGGCCGGCAACCCUCCUUCCGCGGCGGGGUGCCCCGGGUGAAGACCUGGCCUGCCGGUAAACGACGGCGGGCAAGCGCGUAGA